GUCGAGCGAACGGACGAGAAGCUUGCUUCUCUGAUGUUAGCGGCGGACGGGUGAGUAACACGUGGAUAACCUACCUAUAAGACUGGGAUAACUUCGGGAAACCGGAGCUAAUACCGGAUAAUAUUUUGAACCGCACGGUUCAAAAGUGAAAGACGGUCUUGCUGUCACUUAUAGAUGGAUCCGCGCCGCAUUAGCUAGUUGGUAAGGUAACGGCUUACCAAGGCGACGAUGCAUAGCCGACCUGAGAGGGUGAUCGGCCACACUGGAACUGAGACACGGUCCAGACUCCUACGGGAGGCAGCAGUAGGGAAUCUUCCGCAAUGGGCGAAAGCCUGACGGAGCAACGCCGCGUGAGUGAUGAAGGUCUUCGGAUCGUAAAACUCUGUUAUUAGGGAAGAACAUAUGUGUAAGUAACUGUGCACAUCUUGACGGUACCUAAUCAGAAAGCCACGGCUAACUACGUGCCAGCAGCCGCGGUAAUACGUAGGUGGCAAGCGUUAUCCGGAAUUAUUGGGCGUAAAGCGCGCGUAGGCGGUUUUUUAAGUCUGAUGUGAAAGCCCACGGCUCAACCGUGGAGGGUCAUUGGAAACUGGAAAACUUGAGUGCAGAAGAGGAAAGUGGAAUUCCAUGUGUAGCGGUGAAAUGCGCAGAGAUAUGGAGGAACACCAGUGGCGAAGGCGACUUUCUGGUCUGUAACUG
rnacentral:rRNA from 1 species